AUUUUACACAGACGUCAUGCUGCUAAAAAGGAUUUUGUUCUUUCUUCUUGUGUCCUGCGUUAGCCUAUCCGCUGGUAUGCCGAGUCGUCACGUUCACAUACAACGUCCAGUGCUUGUCGUGAGAAAUCCACCACGUGUUUUCGUAUAUCCACGAAGAGGAUAAAAAUUUAAGCACUUUCCACCAAUUAAAUAUAAAUUUGAGUUUAAA